AGAAUCAACGCUGGCGGCGUGCCUCAGACAUGCAAGUCGAACGAUUAAAGCUCUCUUCGGAGAGUGUAUAGAGUGGCGCACGGGUGAGUAACACGUAAGUAAUCUACCUUUGAGUGGGGAAUAACGUCCGGAAACGGACGCUAAUACCGCAUAAUGCAGCGGCAUCGCAAGAUGACAGUUGUUAAAGAUUUAUCGCUUGAAGAGGAGCUUGCGGCAGAUUAGCUAGUUGGUAAGGUAAUGGCUUACCAAGGCUACGAUCUGUAACCGGUCUAAGAGGACGGUCGGUCACACUGACACUGAAUAACGGGUCAGACUCCUACGGGAGGCAGCAGUCGGGAAUUUUGGGCAAGUGGGCGAAAGCCUGACCCAGCAACGCCGCGUGAAGGAUGAAGUAUUUCGGUAUGUAAACUUCGAAAGAAUAGGAAGAAUAAAUGACGGUACCAUUUAUAAGGUCCGGACUAACUACGUGCCAGCAGCCGC
rnacentral:rRNA from 1 species